UACGGGGGAGCAAGCGUUGUUCGGAUUUACUGGGCGUAAAGGGCGCGUAGGCGGCCAGCACAAGUCAGUUGUGAAAUCUCCGAGCUUAACUCGGAAAGGUCAACUGAUACUGUGCGGCUAGAGUGCAGAAGGGGCAACUGGAAUUCUUGGUGUAGCGGUGAAAUGCGUAGAUAUCAAGAGGGAACACCUGGCGGCGAAGGCGGGUUGCUGGG
rnacentral:rRNA from 1 species